rnacentral:lncRNA from 1 species
GAGGGAGUGAAAGGAUGCCAGGUCCGCAGGGAGGCGACUUUUCCUCCAUUUCCGCUCGGCUGCCCGGAGCCCUGUUCUGUGAGCUCGCAAUGAGUCGUCGAGCCACAGAGCAGGAGGGGAGGACCGAGCCGGCCUGGAGGAUAGGGGACAUAGAGAAUGAUAGGAUGGAAGAGGAGAGAGUAGCGGGAGAGAGAGAGCGAAGGUUGGGACGGCGCAAUACCAUCCGAGUAGGGGCAGAGUGAGAAGUGUUGGAUGAGAGCGAGAGGGAAAAGGAUACAACGUAGUGGUCGGAGACUUGGAGGGGAGUUGCAAUGAGAUUAGUGGAAGAACAGCAUCUAGUAAAGAUGAGGUCAAGCGUAUUGCCUGCCUUGUGAGUAGGGGGGGAAGGUGAGAGGGUGAGGUCAAAAGAGGAGAGGAGUGGAAAGAAGGAGGCAG